UUGUGACCGACUUUGUUCCUCCCCGACGGCGAUGGCGGCUGGAGAUUGAAAGUCUCGCCGUCAUCUGAUGAAUCCUCUGAUUCCUCAUGGCACCGUUUCUCGUUAAUGUAUGGUCCCUGACAAGCUGCUACAGAUGAGAGUGAGAGAGUACAUGGCUUUAUAUGCAUGAGAGGGAUUAAUGCGGCAAUGUCAGAUGCAGACUGUGGUGCUUUCAACCCUAGCAGGCAGGAGCUGUAGAUAUGGUGGGUGCUGGUGCACUACUGCAGAUGCCGCACAGCUUCAAGUAGUAGCUUGUCUGCUCUGUUGCUGGUGGAAUCUGAAGCAGGACACUCACCAGGUACUGCCGCAACCACCGCCCCUCCCUUCAGUGGAUAUAUAGAUGUUUCAAAAUAGGUUGGCAACAACACGCAAAGAUCUCAGGAGGAUUAUGACGAAAAAGUAGAGAGUAAAAGAUUGUUCUGAAAUAUGAAUCAGGGGUAAUGGUGUGCUGAUGUAAACACCCUAAAGUACAAAAAUAUUAGAUUUAAGUAAAAGAAGUAGUACAAUCGAUAGUAUGA